AACCUAAUCGACAAACGGGGAAAACAGGAGAGCAUAGCAGCAGCUUCGGCAAUUAGGGGUCUGACCGUCCAUGGCAAAGCUUGAGGAUCUCUCGCUGCUGCAACCAUCACAAGGCAGUCGGACUCGAUUAUAAGAGAAGCCGUGGUCUUAUCGGCGUUCUGCAAGUGAUGUAGGGCGAUACUCAGUGCCUGGACUUCCACCAGCAACGCCGAAGAAGCAGAUUGAUCUUCAGGACUCCUGGGUCAGGGGGCCUCCACGAUGUGCCGGGAUCGGGAUCUCUUCAAGCUGAACCAACCACAUGAACAGGAGCUGAGAUUAUGUUAGCCAUUCGAACUUGGGCAACUGCGGCAUCAACAACAUGAAGAGGAUCAAGAGUCUGCUGGCAGAAGAUGAAUCUAUUACACGAUUUCCAAAUUUGCCAUAAAAAGUGUGGCUAAAAACUCCUAACCAGGUUAUUGCCCAUGGCUGGAGCUGAAGACCAAGCCGUUUCGAUGAUAUCCCAACAGGCCUGUUCCUGCAGCCAAUAAGCUUCGAACUUGAAAGUCUUGCCUUUACUAGGCAGUCUUGCUUCAGUAUUAAGCACCAAGGGACUGUGGUCCGAACCUACUGCUGGUAAAGCGAAGACUUCAGCCUCAGGAAAAAAGAUUCUCCAGUUCCAGUUGCAAAGAACCCUGUCCAAUCUUUCUUUAACCAGGUCAUCCCCCUCUCGGUGAUUCAUCCAAGUAAACGCACAGCCGUUGCUUUCGAUAUCCAUCAGUGCACAAUCGUGUAGAACUUCUCUAAAUGACUGCAUUCGGGAAAAAUCAAGGGAUCUCUUAUCUAUCUUCUCCCAAGGAUAGAUUAUUUCAUUGAAGUCCCCUGCACAAACCUAAGGUAAAGAGUUGGCGGCCGCAAUUCAUCGAAGGGCUGUCCAUAAGGGUUGGCGUGAGUGAAGAGUUGCUAAUGCAUGUACACAAGUCAAUCGCAUAGGUAUUCCUCUCCCUAUCUUUGUACAUAGAGCAUCGAUAAAGUCUUGAGUAGUUAGUUCCACCCGUAUAGAUAAAUGAGACUGCCAAAACAUGGCCAAACCUCCAGCUAUGCCUACUGGAUUAAUUACAUGGGAGUUAGAAAAUUGAAGUCUUCUCUGAAUUCUUGAAAGAACUACCUCUCUAUUCUUUGUUUCCAUCAAAAAGAUCACAUCCGGCUUCUCUUUGGCCACUAGGGCCUUUAGGGCUUGAACUGUCAGGGGAGAGCCAAAUCCCUGACAGUUCCAGCUUAGGAUUUUCAUUUUGUUACCGAUGACUUUUUCAGGCAAGCCACCUCAGCCCAGUUCCUUACUUCAUCGACCAUGAGGACAGGAGUUUCCAGUAGUUGAGUUUCUUCAAAACACUCAGAACCAUGAGAACACAAGUCAUAAGGGUUGUACCUCUUGAGUUUUUUUGUUGUCCCUGUUUUAGUGAUUAUACGAGAGGGUUUCACUUUCUUGGUAUUCAUAGCUGCUACAACUCUAUCUUGAGUUCCUUUUGGCAUGACAGGUGCUAGAAUCAAUACUCCACCAGAUAUAGCCGUCAUUCGAUUAGGGAAAGCGUUACAAUUAUGCUGAGGAAUUAAAGCUGUGACUUCUUCAACAAUAGGAGGAGACAGAGCAAGUACUUUGGAGAUCAUGAAAGGAGGAGUUUCUGGAAUAACUUCAUCAGAGUCGUCAGAGGGAAGCUUUCCUUCAUAGAACAUCUGCCAGUACGGACUGUAUUCCUUAACUUCAGCACGCAACCAUUGACUGAAAGCCAUCUUCUCCUUGCCUGCCAUCUUAGCUUCAGUCAAAGUUUUUCCAGGGAUGGUGAGUCUUCCCAUAUCUCAAUUUCCUGCUCGGACCAUAAACGGCCCAAUCUGUUGCAAAGAGCAGCAAGGCGUGAUGUCUGUUCCUGAUCGAGAAAGUCCAUAAUUGAAGUCCCAAGUCAGAAUUCAGAGGAUAUGUGCAAGGAUGUCGACAUGCAAAGGUAUACUUGAAGACUGGAAGGACAUGGACAAGGAUACAGUUUGGGAAAUUGGGCAAACAGGCAAAGAGCGGAGCUUCAGGUGAGAAAUAAAAAGACAACCGAGUUGAUCAUUGAUAGAAAUGGAAAGUACCGAUGACCCAGAGACAAUAGCGGAUAAGACAAAGAGAGAGUCAUCGCAGCAGAGAAUUGGGUUUCACUGGGCGGAUUUCACAAAAGAAAAGCCAAAUUCCAUUGACGAAAGAGUCAUCGCAGAGAAAGAAAGGAAAACGGGAUGGUUGAAAAUGAGAAAAGGUUGUGAUCGAUAAUUAGGAUUUAAUCAAACCAAAUGAAAACUACCAUUGUUGGUAGAGGGAAGCUCUGCAUGUCAAGAGAGAGGGAAAAUCCUCACUUUUUAGCCUAAUUGUACAUGAGAUUGAAUAUGUUAAUUCAUUUCCUAAUGAGGAUAACGACACAAAUAGUUCCUAAAAUUUAGCUCAAUAGAUAAUGUAGUCCUUGAAUUAUAUGAAAAUAUUCAAUA